rnacentral:tRNA from 1 species
GCACUCAUAGCUCAAUCGGAUAGAGCUCCUGGCUUCGAACCAGUAGGUUAGAGGUUCGAGUCCUCUUGAGUGCA